rnacentral:misc_RNA from 1 species
GUGGCCGGCUGUCUCCCCAUAAAAUUAUGGAUCGGCAAUUCAUCUUCUUGGUUAAUAUCAUCCUCGAAAUUGAGCGAGUAACUCGUAGGAUCGUAUUUAAAAUCGGAAGAAUAAUAGCGCCUUCGGUUCUUACCUCUUCUCCCAAUCAGGCCCCUACACUUGUCUCUGAUCUCGAGAUCAUGAGCCGUGGAUUUCAACCAAGCGUACGAAGGUCUCGGAGUCUGUGACCUCCUUCCGAGCCAAGGCUCUCAGGAAUGUUAUGAGCAGCAAAGCAGCUAAUGGAGGACUUUAGCCUGUCUUUGAG